AGAUAUUUAAAUAAAUUAUCUCAUAAUGACUUAUUUAAAUAUCUGUAAUCGAAUACACGUAUUGCUGUGUGUAGUCUUUGCCUGUCACCUAAGACGGGCUUUUUUUUAU
rnacentral:other from 1 species